CCAGGGGGUGCGACACUGUAAUCUUUUUCGAAUCUCUUAAAAAGAUUCGAAAUGAUUCAAAAAGAUUCAAGAAAGAUUCGGCGUGAUUAAAGAAAAACGAUGCCUGACAGUUUUAUAAAAAUGAUUUAGAUAUUUUAGUUCAGUGCGAGUUCAGUGUUUGUUUUGAACUGCGGAGAGUGCAAAGAAAAAAAUGAAAAAAAAACAUGUUUUCCUGCAAUCUAAUAAAAUAAAGGUAAUUACUAUUAAUUUAUCAUUUUGUAUUACAAUUAAUUACUUUACAAACUAUUACAGAUGCAUCAAAAUUCACCAGGCAGUGGUGGCAAGUGCGUGGAUUAACGGAGCCAGCUUUUCAGAAGAGAUGUAUUUCGGCGGCUACUGACUCAACGGAAUCGAAUGGAGUAAUGCACCGAACCCCUGAUCAGCCUGAUCACGAACGGGAGGCGCCUACUGGGAUGUCGGACGAACGCCAGGUGAAUAAUAUUACGUGAAAAGAACAGAAGCAGCGACUCCGUGGACAAGAGCACUCAGAGUCCAGGGUGACCGGACACGAGAGACCCGGAACUAGAUCCAGCAGAGAAGGAUAGCCCACAAAGUUUCAGAGUUAUAUCAUCACUUCGACCAUAGCACGAGAUUUGAGAGCACUCACACAGGAUUAAACGGCACAGGAUCAAUGCUUUCGCUGCAUCGUAUUCGGCUAUGCACAUGAAGAGAAAUGUGCUUAUUAUUAAAUUUUAUUAAAUGUAUUGUUUCUAUUGCUGAUUAAUAAUAAAUAAUACGGGGGUGGGUUGUUUUGCUGGGUUGGGAGGCUGGCACUGUCAAAUUAUCCGAAAAUAGACCAUUUGGGGCAUGGACAGGGUGUUCUGUUUUGGGCACUUUCCGUUAUAACUGCUGAUUGCUGCUUGUAACUGUCAAAGGUAAGUAGAUCCAUCAUGCAAAUCCUAAGUCAAUUUUUCUUUAAAUGAUUUUAAGAGAGUCUUUAACCCUUUUCCACGACUUUGAACGACUAGCGUUUCCGAAAAGAAUGCUUGACCAAAAAUUAUUGUAAAUUAGCUAAAUUUCUCGCACAUUACGUUCAAUUGUCUGAGAUAUUCUUCAAAGUCGAAAUGUGUCUGAGAAGGUUCACCAAGUCCUCUUGAAUUGCUAGGUGACGAUCAUUACGCUCGAGAUGUCCUUCAAGAUCAGAAUGUGUCCUUGAGAAGGUUCACCAAGUCCUCUAAAAUUGCAAGGUGACGUACAUUACGUUCGAGAUAUCAUUUGAAGUCGGAAUGUGUCUUUGAGAAGGUUCACCAAGUCCUCUUGAAUUGCUAGGUGACGCACAUUACGUUCAGUAGUCUGAGAUAUUCUUCAAGAUCAGAAUGUGUCCUUGAGAAGGUUCACCAAGUCCUCUUAAAUUGCUGGGUGACGCAAUAACCAUUUUCUUCCUUGCUUAGAAUAAUUAGGUAGUCCAUGAGAUAUUCUCUUAAGUACUUUAAAUUUGUCUAAGAAGAUUUACCAAGCCCCUUGAAUUGCCAGGUGACGUAAUAAUCGUUUUCUUCCUUGCAUAGAAUGAUAAAGGAGUCCUUAAUAUAUUUUUGAAAUACUUUAAACUUGUCUAUGAAGGUUCACUAAGUCCUCUUAUAUCGCUAGGAGACGCACAACACGUCUACUUUGAAAAAGCUUCCUUUUUCCUUUGCAUCAAGUACUCAAAAUUCGUCUAAGAAGGUUCACCAAGUCUCCUUGAAUCGCCAGGUGACGCAAUAACCGUUUUCCUCCUUGUUUAGAAUGAUAAAGGAGCCCUAAAUAUAUUUUUGAAAUACUUUAAACUUGUCUAUGAAGGUCCACCAAGUCCUCUUAUAUCGCUAGGUGACGCAAUAACCAUUUUCUUCCUUGCUUAGAAUAAUUAAGUAGUCCAUGAGAUAUUCUCUAAAGUACUUAAAAUUUGUCUAAGAAGGUUUACCAAGUCCUCUCAAAUCGCUAGGUGACGCACAACACGUCUACUUUGAAAAAGCUUUAUUUUUCCUUUGCAUCAAGUACUCAAAAUUCGUCUAAGAAGGUUCACCACGUCCCCUUGAAUCGCCAGGUGACGCAAUAACCGUUUUCUUCCUUGAUUAGAAUGAUAAAGGAGUCCUUAAGAUAUUUUUUAUUUUACCCAAAAUUUGUCUAUGAAGGUCCACCAAGUCUCCUUGAAUCGCCAGGUGACGCAAUAACCGUUUUCCUCCUUGUUUAGAAUGAUGAAGGAGUCCUAAAUAUAUUUUUGAAAUACUUUAAACUUGUCUAUGAAGGUCCACCAAGUCUCCUUGAAUCGCCAGGUGACGCAAUAACCGUUUUCCUCCUUGUUUAGAAUGAUAAAGGAGUCCUAAAUAUAUUUUUGAAAUACUUUAAACUUGUCUAUGAAGGUCCACCAAGUCUCCUUGAAUUGCCAGGUGACGCAAUAACAAUUUUCUUCCUUGAUUAGGAUAAUAAAGGAGUCCUUAAAAUAUUUUUGAAAUACUUUAAACUUGUCUAUGAAGGUCCACCAAGUCCUCUUAUAUCGCUAGGUGACGUAAUAACCAUUUUCUUCUUUGCUUAGAAUAAUUAAGUAGUCCAUGAGAUAUUCUCUAAAGUACUUAAAAUUUGUCUAAGAAGGUUUAUCAAGUUCUCUCAAAUCGCUAGGUGACGCACAACACGUCUACUUUGAGAAAGCUUCCUUUUUCCUUUGCAUCAAGUACUCAAAAUUCGUCUAAGAAGGUUCACCAAGUCCCCUUGAAUCGCCAGGUGACGCAAUAACCGUUUUCUUCCUUGAUUAGAAUGAUAAAGGAGUCCUUAAGAUAUUUUUUAUUUUACCCAAAAUUUGUCUAUGAAGGUCCACCAAGUCUCCUUGAAUCGCCAGGUGACGCAAUAACCGUUUUCCUCCUUGUUUAGAAUGAUGAAGGAGUCCUAAAUAUAUUUUUGAAAUACUUUAAACUUGUCUAUGAAGGUCCACCAAGUCUCCUUGAAUCGCCAGGUGACGCAAUAACCGUUUUCCUCCUUGUUUAGAAUGAUAAAGGAGUCCUAAAUAUAUUUUUGAAAUACUUUAAACUUGUCUAUGAAGGUCCACCAAGUCUCCUUGAAUUGCCAGGUGACGCAAUAACAAUUUUCUUCCUUGAUUAGGAUAAUAAAGGAGUCCUUAAAGUAUUUUUGAAAUACUUUAAACUUGUCUAUGAAGGUCCACCAAGUCCUCUUAUAUCGCUAGGUGACGUAAUAACCAUUUUCUUCUUUGCUUAGAAUAAUUAAGUAGUCCAUGAGAUAUUCUCUAAAGUACUUAAAAUUUGUCUAAGAAGGUUUAUCAAGUUCUCUCAAAUCGCUAGGUGACGCACAACACGUCUACUUUGAGAAAGCUUCCUUUUUCCUUUGCAUCAAGUACUCAAAAUUCGUCUAAGAAGGUUCACCAAGUCCCCUUGAAUCGCCAGGUGACGCAAUAACCGUUUUCUUCCUUGAUUAGAAUGAUAAAGGAGUCCUUAAGAUAUUUUUUAUUUUACCCAAAAUUUGUCUAUGAAGGUCCACCAAGUCUCCUUGAAUCGCCAGGUGACGCAAUAACCGUUUUCCUCCUUGUUUAGAAUUAUAAAGGAGUCCUAAAUAUAUUUUUGAAAUACUUUUAACUUGUCUAUGAAGGACCACCAAGUCUCCUUGAAUUGCCAGGUGACGCAAUAACCAUUUUCUUCCUUGAUUAGGAUAAUAAAGGAGUCUUUAAAAUAUUUUUGAAAUACUUUAAACUUGUCUAUGAAGGUCCACCAAGUCCUCUUAUAUCGCUAGGUGACGUAAUAACCAUUUUCUUCCUUGCUUAGAAUAAUUAAGUAGUCCAUGAGAUAUUAUCUAAAGUACUUAAAAUUUGUCUAAGAAGGUUUACCAAGUUCUCUCAAAUCGCUAGGUGACGCACAACACGUCUAAUUUGAAAAAGCUUCCUUUUUCCUUUGCAUCAAGUACUCAAAAUUCGUCUAAGAAGGUUCACCAAGUCCCCUUGAAUCGCCAGGUGACGCAAUAACCGUUUUCUUCCUUGAUUAAAAUGAUAAAGGAGUCCUUAAGAUUUUUUUUUACCCAAAAUUUGUCUAUGACGGUCCACUAAGUCUCCUUGAAUCGCCAGGUGACGCAAUAACCGUAAGUACUUAAAAUUUGUCUAAGAAGGUUUACCAAGUCCUCUUAAAUAGCAAGGUGACACAAAAUACUUCUACUUUAAAACAGCUUUCUUUUUACUUUGAAUCAUGUAUUAACUCAAAUUUUGUCUGAAAGACGGUUCACCAAGUCCUAUAGGAGACGCACGACACGUCCACUUUGUAACAGCUUUCUUCUGCUUUGAAUAUAUUUAGUGGUAUGUUUUAUUCGAAGGUUUUUGCUGAAUAAUUUUUCCCUUCCAUUGUACAAAUUUACUGUUCAACCAUAAUUUCUCCAUAGGGACUUACCUACUAUUCAUUCGCAGUGAAAGUGUUACAAAUCUCUACCAAGCCUAACAAAAUUGUAAAAGCCAUGAUUUCUGAUAAAUAAAAAAAAUAAAUAUUUAGUGGUAUGUUCUCAGUCUUCAAGUCAUUCGGGUUCCGUUUGCUUCAAAUAGUUGUAAACAGGUAUUCACAAAUUGUUGAAUAGUUUACGUUUAUUGAUAAAACAUUUCAGGAUCUUCAUCCUCGCCUCUUUCUCCUCAUCAUCGCAAAAACUACAUAAUUGCAAUUCACGUUCACGUAAUAUUACAAUUGCAAUUCACGUUCAUGAUCACCUCUUCUCUCGGAAUUCUGCGUACGAUAUCUAUCAGAUCUGGAUACUCCGGUUCACCACCGACGUCAACUGAUCGUCCUCGGUUUCUACCUGUUA